AUUGAACGCUGGCGGCAGGCCUAACACAUGCAAGUCGAGCGGAUGAAGGGAGCUUGCUCCUGGAUCCAGCGGCGGACGGGUGAGUAAUGCCUAGGAAUCUGCCUGGUAGUGGGGGAUAGCGUCCGGAAACGGGCGCUAAUACCGCAUACGUCCUGAGGGAGAAAGUGGGGGAUCUUCGGACCUCACGCUAUCAGAUGAGCCUAGGUCGGAUUAGCUAGUUGGUGGGGUAAAGGCCUACCAAGGCGACGAUCCGUAACUGGUCUGAGAGGAUGAUCAGUCACACUGGAACUGAGACACGGUCCAGACUCCUACGGGAGGCAGCAGUGGGGAAUAUUGGACAAUGGGCGAAAGCCUGAUCCAGCCAUGCCGCGUGUGUGAAGAAGGUCUUCGGAUUGUAAAGCACUUUAAGUUGGGAGGAAGGGCAGUAAGUUAAUACCUUGCUGUUUUGACGUUACCAACAGAAUAAGCACCGGCUAACUUCGUG
rnacentral:rRNA from 1 species